rnacentral:rRNA from 1 species
CCCCUAGACGUUCUGGGCUGCACGCGCGCUACAAUAAUACGCACAGCGAGUAUCACCGAGCUCGAAAGGGCAAGGUAAACAAUAGAAAAGGUACUGUAAUGGUUAUAGAUCCUUGUAAUUAUUGAUCUUCAACGAGGAAUUCCUAGUAAGUAUGUGUCAUCAUCACGCACUGAUUACGUCCCUGCCCUUUGUACACACCGCCCGUCGCACCUACCGAUUGAAUGGUCCGGUGAAAUCUCGGGACGGCGGCUUGGUCGCUUGCGUCCGACUGCUGAAACUUGAUUAAACCAUAUCAUUUAGAGGAAGGUGAAGUCGUAACA